UGCUCGCGGGGGGUCUCCACGAAGGGGAAUUUGUCGAGAUCUGACGGAUUGUCAUCUAUAUAGGCGCUUGUGUUGCAGCGGAGCUGGGGGUAGUCGAAGGCCGAGCGGGGAGUGGCGCCGGUGGCGGAGUCGGGAGUUUGUGGUUCGGUGAUGGGACCGAGGGCGAUGGGGGAAAUGCCGUAGCUGGCGAGGCGGUGCUUGUAAG
rnacentral:misc_RNA from 1 species